CAAGUCGAACGGUAACAGGAAGAAGCUUGCUUCUUUGCUGACGAGUGGCGGACGGGUGAGUAAUGUCUGGGAAACUGCCUGAUGGAGGGGGAUAACUACUGGAAACGGUAGCUAAUACCGCAUAACGUCGCAAGACCAAAGAGGGGGACCUUCGGGCCUCUUGCCAUCGGAUGUGCCCAGAUGGGAUUAGCUAGUAGGUGGGGUAACGGCUCACCUAGGCGACGAUCCCUAGCUGGUCUGAGAGGAUGACCAGCCACACUGGAACUGAGACACGGUCCAGACUCCUACGGGAGGCAGCAGUGGGGAAUAUUGCACAAUGGGCGCAAGCCUGAUGCAGCCAUGCCGCGUGUAUGAAGAAGGCCUUCGGGUUGUAAAGUACUUUCAGCGGGGAGGAAGGGAGUAAAGUUAAUACCUUUGCUCAUUGACGUUACCCGCAGAAGAAGCACCGGCUAACUCCGUGCCAGCAGCCGCGGUAAUACGGAGGGUGCAAGCGUUAAUCGGAAUUACUGGGCGUAAAGCGCACGCAGGCGGUUUGUUAAGUCAGAUGUGAAAUCCCCGGGCUCAACCUGGGAACUGCAUCUGAUACUGGCAAGCUUGAGUCUCGUAGAGGGGGGUAGAAUUCCAGGUGUAGCGGUGAAAUGCGUAGAGAUCUGGAGGAAUA
rnacentral:rRNA from 1 species